GCAGCUUCGAGGUUUUGAGUUGUUAAAAGCAGUUCACUUGGAACCAAAUCCCUUUGACAUGGAGAGGGAUCUUAUAACUCCAACAUUCAAACUGAAGAGACCACACCUACUUAAAUAUUACAAGGACCGUAUUGAUAAACUGUACAGUGAAGCAAAGGAAGCAAGGGUAUGACAGCAAUGUCGAAAGCCGGAAGCUACUGGAGAAAACCUUUUUACCACAAUUUCCCAAAGAUGUGAUUGCUGAUAGUGGGCAGGUGCUACCCACAAAGACUCUGGAUUC